rnacentral:rRNA from 1 species
UACGUAGGAGGCAAGCGUUGUCCGGAAUUACUGGGCGUAAAGCGCGUGUAGGUGGUGGGACAAGUCUGCUGUGAAAGCGCCUGGCUUAACCGGGCGAGGUCGGCGGAAACUGUCCGACUCGAGGACGGUAGAGGGGGGUGGAAUUCCCGGUGUAGUGGUGAAAUGCGUAGAGAUCGGGAGGAACACCUGUGGCGAAGGCGGCCCCCUGGGCUGUACCUGACGCUGAAACGCGAAAGCUAGGGGAGCGAACGGG